rnacentral:rRNA from 2 species
UUUGACCUCGGAUCAGUAG